CGGCGACAGUCGCGACAAGGUCACGCGGCGCCCCGGACUCACCGUACACCCCUUGGCCGGAGCUGCCCUCCAGCAGAACCGUCAGCAGCCCCAGCAGCCCGAUCGCUACAUCCAUCUUCACGGGGUUUUCCACUAUCAAUAAGGAACACAUUGGGAGAAGUGGCUCCAGAUGUUUCUUGGAGGUGCCCAAGGAAUGCCAGGAAGUGGCACUCAGAGCUCUGGGCUGGGGACAAGGUGGGGACUGCUCACAGCUUGGACUUGGUGAUCUUGGAGGCCUUUUCCAACUGAAAUGAUUCCAUUAUUCUGUCUGGGACAUCCUGAGAUAUCUGAAGAAUUGUUCCUCUGCGUCCUCCUGGCAGCUGGACUCCAAUCCUCAUCCCGACCUUUCCAAGUCCUCUUCUCUAAAGGUUCCCUUAAUUCCGUGGCACAUCCCAGAAUAGCAAUUUUCUGGAUUAAUCCUGGGUUACUGGGUGAGUCAUUUUGUUUAUUUGUAUAAAACGCGUUCGCUUUAUUCCGCCCUCCCAAAUCCUGGGAUGAAAAGGGAGGAUGAGCAGAUUAUAAUGCCGGAUAUUUUUAUUCCUAGAAGGAGAUUAUAAUGCACAUUUCCUGGGGCUGAGGGAGAUUGGGAUGUUGGAAAGGCUGCCAUGGAAGCUGUGGCCAGCUCUGCAUCCAUGGAAUUAAUUCCAGUGGGUUUUUUGUUUGAUUUUUUCCUGGAUGCUGUGACAGAACCUCUUCCUCACUUCCCAUUGCAUGAGGAGCUUCUUCCCAGAUCUAGGAAUUUGGGAGUGCCUAUUGGAAUAUUCUGUGGAUUUGUUCAGAUUUGGGAAGUGGAAUCAUAAUAAUAUAUAAACUUUAGGGGGAGAAAACCCAAGGAAAAAUUAAAGCAGGAAUGGUGACUCCCUCCUUCCAAGCUCACUGGUCAAACACAGGGAACAUCCAUAAUCCCUCCUGCAAAAGCUCAGCUAAAUUGUUGUCUUGAGAAUAGAAGGGAAAAAAGGGCAACAAAAUCUUCUAAUUUUUCUCAGUUUGGAGGGAUUUGUGGGACAAAUCAAACGCAAGGAAUAUCCAUAAUACCUUCUGGAAAACCUCGUUAAAUUGUUAAUUAUAUCCUGGGAAACGAGGGGGGAAAAGACCAACCAAAGCUUUCUGGUUUUCUCAGUUUGGAGGGAUUUGUGGGACAAGUCAAACACAGGGACUAUCCAUAAUUCCUCCUGGAAAAGCACAGUUAAAUUGUUAUCCUGGGAAAAGGGGAAACAAAGAGCUACCAAAGCUUCCUGGUUUUCUCAGUUUGGAGAGAUUUGUGGGAUACAUCUGCCAUGCUCAUCCACCCCUCCCAGCCAGGGCAACCUGGAACUUGGCUUUUCCUAACAAAAAGUACAGAAGUGGCUUCCUGCAUCCUGAAGGCUCCUGGAGCACUGGAAUAAAAAUUAAAAAAUAAAAAGAUAAAAUUCCUAAGGAAAGGAAAUAAAUGCAUUCCAUAAACCCCAACACGACCCCACUGCUUUUCCUUAUUCCAGCUGCUGUGGGAGCAAUGGCACUUCCAGAAUUCCUUGUUUGAAAGCCUCGUUGUGCUUUGGGAAUCUGUUGCCAGCCAGGGAUUUUGCAGCCAAGUGACCAAAAAUAAUGGGAAUAUUUGAUCCAACUUUUCCAGCCCUGGUUCUACCUUGGGAGCACCCAAAAAUGUUGUGGCCCUUCAGAAAGGACAAAGGUUUAAAUUUCCAGCUUCUCCUGCACUUCUCCCUCACUUCUCAUUCCAUGAGGAUCUUCCCCCCAGCUCUGGAUGUCCAAGAGUUUGGGAAGUGCAUAUUGGAAUCUCAAUUUAUGGAUUUGUUCAGGUUUGGGAGGUGGGACAACAAUAGCACUGCUUUUCCAUGACAAAAUUUUCCCAAAUAUCCAAUCUAAACCCCCUCUAGCCCAGCCUGAGGCCGUUCCCUCUCCUGUCCCUGUUCCCUGGGAGCAGAGCCCCGGCUGUCCCCUCCUGGAAGGGAACUCUGGAAUUUUUCCAUAAUUUCCACCUGGUUGAACAUUUUAUUCUUCAGCUGGGCAGCAGGGAAUUGUGCAAGGUGCUGGAAUUCCUUAUCCACAAAAUUAAAACCAUUUAACAAGAUGUUGGUGACCUUUAUGGGGAAAUAUUGGUGGACAGGUGGAUACAGCUGGUUUUACCUGGAUAAUGGAAUUCCCACUGGAGAGGAACAAGGAUGAAUUGGUGAAUCAUGGAAUCAUGGAAAGGUUUGGGCUCAAGGGAUGUUGAAUCCCAUCCAGUCCCACCCCCUUCCAUAGGUAGGGACACCUUCCACUAUCCCAAGUUUUUCCAGGCCCCAUCCAACCUGUCCUUGGACACUUCCAGGAAAUUCCAUUUGAAAUCCUGGCUGGAGCAGAGUUUAUUUCAAAGCAGCCAGAUAAACAAGUGGAGAUUCCAGAGCCUGACCCCCUUUUGGGACAGGAGGAUUUCGUGGGACAAGUCUGCCAGUCAGAUUCCUUCAAAAUCUAUAAUUAUUGGAUUUAUCACCACAUUUCCCUGUGGAUCACAUCCCAUUUCCCUGGCUGCUUGCACAGUGCCUCAGCCCUCAUCCUGUGCUGGAUUUUAGCCUCAGGAGCAGCAAAAUUUUCCCAUCCACAGCUGGAAAUAUCCCAGACUAUUUGAUGAUAAGAUUUGGAACGGGCUGAGCGUAUUUUCUUCUCUGUUCCUGGCAGGAAAAAUAAACUCCACCUGUCCAGCAGGUUCAAAUAAACAAGUAAAAAAAGCUUCAUCGUGGAUUUAUUACACAGGAAAUCUUAUUUAAAUCCAUUUAUUCACUACAUUGGGAAUUUUAUUUAAAUCCAUUUAUUCACUAAAUUUAAAUAAAAGUCAGAGAAAAGAAAAUAAAAAGAAAACAAAAUUGGCAUCACAAAUACUGUGGUUUUGUCAGGUUUUCUGUACAUCAAAUAUUUGUUUUACUGCAGAACUUCCCAGGAAUCUUGCUGGAAGCUGCCAGGGAAUUGCCAGCAAUUAUUUCCUUGGUAUUUGCUUAAAUAACCCUGAGGUUUAAUAUUGUUUGAUGCCUUCUGAAAUAUCCUGGGAAGGCAGAACUCCGAGCUCUGCUGCUGCCCAGAGAUGAAUUUUUAUUCCAGAAAAUUGGGAAGUAGUUCCACAUCCCUCACUCCUGCCAGAGUGCAGGAACAGGAGAUAUUUUCCAGCAGCCUCAUUGUCCAUGACAGGGAAAAUUUUAGGUGGAACAGCCAGAAAGGCAAGAAGAGAUUUGGGUAAAAGCAAAAAACUAUGGAAAAAUUCCAUAAUUCCACCUGUGGAAUGCUCAAUCCAUCAGUAUCCUAUAAGAGGUUCCUUUCCUUCCUCCCUUCUCCCUUCCUUUCCUUCCUCCCUUUCUCUUUUCCUUGUUGGUCCUUCUGCCCCAUGGAUCCAAUAAAUCCACAUCCACAUCACCCUGUGGGGAGAUCUGACCUUGCUUUGGGACCUCUGGAAUUUUUCCUGCAUUGUUUGCAGAGCCUGGGGAACGUCACAGCCUUGAACUGGGCCUGCAGGGGCACACGGAGACACCCAAAAAGUGGGAUUUGGGGAAUUUCUUGGUUUGGUUUUGUAGAUGGAAAGGCUGGAGAGGACAAGGCUCCAGAGAGAGCUCAGAGCCCCUGGCAGGGCCUGAAGGGGCUCCAGGAGAGCUGCAGAGGGACUGGGGACAAGGCAUGGAGGGACAGGAGCCAGGGAAUGGCUCCCACUGCCAGAGGGCAGGGAUGGGUGGGAGAUUGGGAAUUGGGAAUUGCUGGCUGGGCUGGAAUUGCCAGAGCAGCUGUGGCUGCCCCUGGAUCCCUGGCAGUGCCCAAGGCCAGGCUGGACACUGGGGCUGGAGCAGCCUGGGACAGUGGGAGGUGUCCCUGCCAUGGCAGGGGUGGGAUGGGAUUCAAGGUCCUUCCAACCCAGAUCCUUCCAGGAUUCUGUGACAUUGUCCUCUCCCUUUUUCCACAGUGCUCAUUUUUAGUAUGAAUAAAAGCAUUAUCCCUUCCAUAAUACUUCUUAUUACUAUAAAUAGAUAUAAAAAUCUAAUUUUAGGUUAUUUUGAUUUGAUUUUUUAAACUCAGACUUUGGGUAUUUAAACAGAUUUUUCAACCCAUGGUGUCAGUGCACCCACUUGAAUAACCUGGACACACUCCACUGGACUAUUCAUUACAUUUAAAUAAGAAUAAUUUAAUUGUAUUACGUUGUACAUAUUUAAACAUGCCAUUGAAAACAAUGAAUUUCUGCCCCCACAACCACAGUCUGCCCAUAUUAAUAAUUUGGAGGAUUAACAUAAACAACCAGCUUUGUUUGCUGACCUGAGGUUUUCACUUUCUGCAAUAAAUUCGGGCCAAUCCAGACUGCAAAUAUUUAUUGCUGUCCUCAGAGCCAUUAACAGAGCUUCAGUCAAUAAAUGAUGGCAAGUCUGAGGCCAAGAAGUGGUUUAAGAUCCCAAAAACUAAUUUAUUGUAUGAGAAAAGCAAAAAGCAACAUCUGGGAGGGCGGAAUUCCAUGAGACUUUGCCACAGAGGGUGGUUCCACCUGGAAUUCCGCCUGUCCUGGGAGAAGGAGCCUUUGGAAUUCCAAACAGAUCAUUGGCAUUUGGUGCCAUGGCCCUCAUCCCGAAGGAAUGGGCUCUGAACAUGAAUUCUGUUCAACAUAUUCCCAAAAGGCAGCAGCACAUGGGAUUGGUGCUGCCCACACAAGGUUGGCUGGGAAACACGAGGCACACGAGGCAAAAUCUGUGUCCACUUCCAACAUUUCCAAAACUUUCAUUAGAAUGGAAGGCUGGAAUCAAAUCUCCAUCUUCUGCUAGUGUUGCUGCCCAGUGCCCAGGUCAGAUUUGUUCCCUCAGGCUCAGGGGGGCUGGUGGCAAAUCCAUGGUCUCUGCUCCUUGGAAAUGUCUUGGAAUAUCAUUUUCCUGCUUUGGCUGCUGCUGCUUUAGAAAUAACUUCCCCUAAAUCCAAAUCAAUGGGGCUGGAACCCAGAAUGGCUUGGGUUGGAGGGCCUCAGAUCCCAUUCCGUUCCAGGGGCAGGAAUGCUCCAGCCCCAGUGUCCAGCCUGGCCUUGGGCACUGCCAGGGAUCCAGGGGCAGCCACAGCUGCUCUGGCAAUUCCAGCCCAGCCAGCAAUUCCCAGUUCCCAGUCUCCCAUCCAUCCCUGCCCUCUGGCAGUGGGAGCCAUUCCCUGGCUCCUGUCCCUCCAUGCCUUGUCCCCAGUCCCUCUGCAGCUCUCCUGGAGCCCCUCCAGGCCCUGCCAGGGGCUCUGAGCUCUCCCUGGAGCCUUCUCCUCUCCAGUGAACAUUCCCAGCUCUCCCAGCCUUUCUUCACAGCAGAGUUUAUAUUUUCUGUUCUCUUUAAAGGAAAAAUUAUUCAGAAAGAGAAGUAAAAAAAACCCCAACAACUGUGAAAGGCUUUAAAAGUCCUAUUUCUCUUUUCCUCCCUCGAAAAUGAAGUUUUUAUUACUUUUUCUGGUCAGGCCUAAGGCAGGAUUUGCUAUUUGAAAAACAAACUGCCAGCAGCCUCCAGCAAAGACAAGCUGCAGCCUCUGCUUUCUUCCCUCUGCCUGUGAUUUCCUUGCCUUUGUAAAUAUUUCUUCCAAGCGAGAAAUCCAGCAGGAUUUAUUUGAUCAACCACACAUUUCUGCACAAUCCAUUGGGGAACGUCAGGUAGGAUUUGUAACCAGAUCCAGAUGGAAGCGGGGCUCAGGGAGGAGUGAGGUUGCAGGGGUUUAUCCCAUCUAACCUUGGGAUGUUCCUUCUUAAAUCCUGAAGGCAGUGAAGCUCCUGAACUUUGGGAAUUUAUAGGACAUUUCCUGUUUUCAAGAGGCAGCUCUGUGCCUUUCCCAAAAGGAAGGAAGUGAGGUUUGUCUCCGGAGUCCAUGGAAAUGUUCUCCAGGUCCCAGUGCUGAGGAGCAGAGCCAGGAAAAUCUCUUGGAGAGCAUCAAGUGCCAGCCAGGAUUCGCUGGAGGAUGCAGGGAGGAGGUGGGGAAAGGAUGGGAUUUUAAAUGUGGGUUCUUAAAUCCAUCCCUGAACACAAAGGAGGAGCAGGGAGGGAUUUUGAGGUGUCCCAUGCCGGAUCAGCAGUAGGACUGAUGAUCCCUGUAAAUCCAGCUCAGGUAAUUCCAUGAUUCCAUGAUUCAGUGGAGAGUCAGUUUAUGCCCCCGCAAAAAAAAGAGCUUUUCCUUCUGUUCUUUGCAAAUCCCUAAGGAUCCCUGCUCAGAACAGCAGGUUCCAUGAAAAGCCAGUGAAGUGGUGGCAGCUGCAGGCACAAUCCUGCCAGGAAUGCCGGUGAUCCCGGUUCCAUGUGGGACUGAUGCUCCUCCGGACUCACUUCCACCCUCUCUUCUUCAUUUCCCAGCUUUAUCCAUCCCCAUGGGGCUGGAGAGGGAGCUGGAGGGAGCUCCCCUCUCCUCCUGCCGCCCUGGCCAAAAUAUAUUUUCCUUAGUGCAUGGAUCCGACUUUGGAACAUGGAUCUGGGUGCAGGAGCAGCUCUGGACCAAAAGGAAAAGGCACAGCCCACUCCCCAAAAGUCUGAGAAAUGUUUGGAAAUUAGCUAAAAAGGAGCAAAUAUAAACUACAGGUGAACUUCUGCCUUUUAUCCUCCUUUCCCUAACUCCUAGGAGCCCAUGGAGGGCUAAAGGGAUCCAAACCAGUAGGCACUCAGGGUUGGAAGUGUGGAUGGUUCCAGACAUUUGGAAUUCAUGGUUUGCUAAUCCCAGGAUGGAUCAGGCUGGAAGGGACCACAGAGGGUCACUGGUGCCAGUCCCUGCCCAGGGCACAGGAUUGUGUCCAUGUGGCUCUGGAAUGUCCCAGGGAGGAGACUCCAGCCCCUCUCUGGGCUCUGCUCAGGGCUGGCACUGCCCAGGGCAGGAGUUCUGCCACCUGGAAUUCCUGGGAUCAGCCCCUGCUCAUUUCUCUUGUCCCACUUCUGGGCACCACCAAGAAGAUCCUGGUCCAGUUCAUGGCAAUUUCUUUCCCAUUUGGGAAAAAAAAAAAAAAGUCCCAAAUUCUGCACUGAAGCAGACCUGGAUCAACAGUCAUGUCCAGCUGUUUAAAACCAGAAUUAAACCUUCCUUCCAAAAGGAAGGUUCUAUGUAAACUCUCCUCUUUUAAAUACCUCCAGACUCUUUGGGAAACAAACCCAGGAACUUUUGAGCAGCAGGAAUGUGCAGUGUGGGCUCUAAAUCACCCAGAUUGCUGCAGGUUUGCACGUCUGCUCGGCAGCCCAGCUCUGCUCCCUCUCCAAAAUGUGCCAAUUGCUGCUCCUGCAGCAGCUGAGCCAGCACAAUCCUGGCUCCUCUGCUGCCCUUCUUUCUGCUCCAGCUGCUCCCGAGGCUUCGUUUCUUUCAUCACUUCCUCCAUUAAGGAUUUUGCCCCAAAUAUUGAGGCUCCCCAUCCCCCUGGCCAUGGAAUCUCAAAGAUUUCCCCUCAUGGGGCAUUAGGGUGGAUCUGCUUCAGCCUGGGAGAGCUCAGAGCCCAAAGGGGCUCCAGGAGAGCUGGAGAGGGACUGGGGACAAGGCAUGGAGGGACAGGACACAGGGAAUGGCUUUAGGCUGGAAAAGAGGAGAUUUAGAUGGGAUAUUGGGAAGGAAUUGCUGGCUGGAGGGUGGGGAGGGGCUGGGCUGGAAUUGCCAGAGCAGCUGGGGCUGCCCCUGGAUCCCUGGCAGUGCCUGAGACCAGGUUGGACACUGGGGCUGGAGCAGCCUGGGACAGUGGGAGGUGUCCCUGCCAUGGCAGGGUGGCACUGGGUGGGAUUUGAGGUCCCUUCCAACCCAAACCUUCACAGAAUUCCAAGAUUCUCCAAAACCUGGUGUCUGUGACCCUGUACAGCAAAGGGAGAGCAGGGAACUGCAGAGUUCAUUUCACUCCCUCAAUCAAAACCUAGUCAGAACCUAAUAAAAAUGGACAAAUCUCUAAUUGCCUUUCACACCAGUUUUAUUUCACGGCCUAAGUCAAUAUUCCAACAAUAAAGCUGAUCCCAGAAUAAACCUGGAUUAUCAAAUCCGUUUGGUUUGUUGGAUAAAUGAAUCAUCAAGCCCUUAAUAAUCCCAGCAGCUCACGCAGAUUUGUGCAGCACUGCAAACAAAAGGGGAAAUCCCAUCUUUAUUUGCCUAAUGCUCAUUAAUUUUUCCUUCCUUUCCUCCUCCUUUCAAGACUUCUCCAAUCCCUCACGGAAAAUCAAAGCAUAUCCUUGAAACUAAAUCCUUCUCCUCUUCUGAGCCAAACAUUUCCCCACUCAGAAGAGCCCAGGACCUGAUGCAAUGCCAUGUUUGGCUUUGGAAAACUCAGGGAACGUCACUAUUUAGGGAGAGAUGAGGGAUCCCAUCAGGCAGAGCUGAAACAGGGGGUGCAAUAAUGGAUAAAGCACAGCAAGGAGAGCUCCUGGUGGUCCUCACAAACUUCCCAAAAGUUUGGGCGCAAAAAAAAAAAUCUCACAACAUCUGAACAUUUAUAAAAAUCUGGAGGAAAAAAAACGAAAAA